GACGAACCGUGCGAACGUUAUUCGGAAUCACUGGGCUUAAAGCGCGUGUAGGCGGGACGGCACGUCGGUCGCUGAAAUCCCCCGGCUCAACCGGGGAACGGGCGCCGAUACGACCGCCCUGGAGGGAUGUAGGGGGACCUGGAACUUCCGGUGGAGCGGUGAAAUGCGUUGAGAUCGGAAGGAACGCCCGUGGCGAAAGCGAGGUCCUGGACAUCUGCUGACGCUGAGACGCGAAAGCCAGGGGAGCGAACGGG
rnacentral:rRNA from 1 species